UUGGAAAAGACCUCCAAGAUCAUCAAGCCCUGGUGCUAAGAGGCUUUCCCUGGUGCCCCUCUGGUGCUGCCUGGUGCCAAACAGGAUUUCACUUCAUACUGUGAGGUAGAGCACAAUCAAACCAGCCAGCCUGGGAGCCUGAGUGGGGCCUGAGCUCCCAGAGGGGUCAGGACUGAGUUUUGAGAGGGGCUGAGGCCUCAGAAGGAUCUGGAAUGAGGUCCAAGAGGGGUCUGCCUUCACUCCUUGGCCCUGAGCUGCCCUGAGGUGAAGAAGGUUCAUCAACAGCCCAUCCAGCUGUGUCAACAUCAGCUGACCUGGGAAGAAAGGAAAGCUGAUUUGAAGAAGCUGAUGAACUCCUUGUGACUGUUAUUGUUUGGACAAAGAGGAACGGCUUCAAACUGAGAGUACCUCCAGUUCUACCCAGUGCCUCUGGACAGAGAUGAUCUUGUUCCUGCCAAUAGGUCACCAGAGGAGUGGGGCUCUCAAGAAGAAGUUAGGACAAACCACAGCUGAUCUGGCAUAGCACUGGCCUGCUCUGAGCAGAUUGGACUAGAAAUCUUCAGUGGUCACUCCCCAUCAACAUUUCCUUGUGUGAUGGAUGUGGAUGGAAGAAGGCAUUGGUUUCCUUUUUGUUCAGUAACAAAUCUUGUGUGCAUCCUUU